rnacentral:rRNA from 1 species
AUCUGGCUCAGGACGAACGCUGGCGGCGUGCCUAACACAUGCAAGUCGAGCGGAGACAGUGAGUAGCUUGCUACGAGCUGUUUUAGCGGCGGACGGGUGAGUAACGCGUGAGCAACCUUUCCCAGACAGGGGAAUAACACACCGAAAGGUGUACUAAUACCGCAUAAGACCACGGGAUCACAUGGUUCUGGGGUAAAAGAUUUAUCGGUUUGGGGUGGGCUCGCGUCCGAUUAGGUAGUUGGUGAGGUAACGGCCC